rnacentral:rRNA from 1 species
UACGUAGGGUGCAAGCGUUGUCCGGAAUUAUUGGGCGUAAAGAGCUCGUAGGCGGUUUGUUGCGUCGGCCGUGAAAACCUGCAGCUUAACUGUGGGCUUGCGGUCGAUACGGGCAUCACUGGAGUUCGGCAGGGGAGACUGGAAUUCCUGGUGUAGCGGUGAAAUGCGCAGAUAUCAGGAGGAACACCGGUGGCGAAGGCGGGUCUCUGGGCCGAUACUGACGCUGAGGAGCGAAAGCGUGGGGAGCGAACAGG